UGUAUCUGUGUCUUUGUUUAGUUUGUAACCAGGCCUUACAGACAGGUACAAACAGUAAAUCCAUUUUUGCGACCCAGAACUCAUUGUUGAAUAUAAGAAUUUGGUACAUGUACUAAGGGAUAUG